rnacentral:rRNA from 1 species
GAUGAACGCUAGCGGCAGGCCUAAUACAUGCAAGUCGAGGGGCAGCAUUCACUUCGGUGAGAUGGCGACCGGCGGACGGGUGCGUAACGCGUAUGCAACCUACCCAUUACAGGGGGAUAGCCCGAAGAAAUUUGGAUUAAUACCCCAUAAUAUUAUUAGAUGGCAUCAUUUAAUGAUUAAAGAGUUAUUGGUAAUGGAUGGGCAUGCGUCCCAUUAGCUAGUUGGUGGGUUAACAGCUUACCAAGGCGACGAUGGGUAGGGGUUCUGAGAGGAAGGUCCCCCACACUGGUACUGAGAUACGGACCAGACUCCUACGGGAGGCAGCAGUAGGGAAUAUUGGUCAAUGGGCGAUAGCCUGAACCAGCCAUGCCGCGUGCAGGACGACGGCCUUCUGGGUUGUAAACUGCUUUUAUACAGGAAUAAAAUGGUCUUGCGAGACCGAUUGCAUGUACUGUAUGAAUAAGCACCGGCUAACUCCGUGCCAGCCGCCGCCGUAACAC